CACGUUGACUGAUACUCAUAAAAAAGGAAACUUAACUAUAGUAUUAUAUAGGUAAAUGAGUAAUUACUAGUUGACCAAAAGAGUGAUUCAUAUUUGUCUUAAUUCUUUUUCUUUUUCUUUUUACUUGUUUUUAUUGAUUUCUACUUUUCAUUUUCUUCACAUUUGACCAGUUUUUAAGAUGGUAAAUGAGUAACUAAUAGUUAUUACCCUUGUAUUAUUCAAAGGGACUACUAUGUUUCUUUUGUAUUUUGGUAUGGCUUUGUAUCCCUUUUUCUUUCAUAAUUGCAAUAUUUGACUUCCAUAAAAUUGUAUAUAUAUGAAAGCACUUUUGUAAGAGUCUUAAGACAUAGAAGAAAUAAAGAAAUCAACAAGAGAAACGAUGGUGAAAACCUAUACUCUAAAAAUCAUUUAUUUGUUCAUGUUUGCAUUACUGAUUGUGAGAUUAAUUCCAUCAAAAGCUCAACCUCCAUAUUGUACUAUGGAAAGACGUGAUACUGAGUAUUUUAAUUGCGUUGAUUCUCUCAAGUUGGGUACACCAUGGGUUCCUCCUUCCAAAGAUUGCUGCGAAUAUAUACAAAUCGAUAAUAUGGCUUGCUUCUGCAAAGGCGCCAAUAGGUUAUUUUCAGCACUUUUUGACCAAAAUAAGCUUUUCAAAAUCUCUCAUGCAUGCGGAGAUCUCUUAGUUCCGGGAUCAUAUUGCGGAAUUUUCAAGGUUCCAGGUGGUGUGUGAGAAAAGAUGGAUGUGCAUGUCAUAUUUUGUUUCUUUUCUUUAUAUAUCUCAAAUUUUAUAUUAUAUAUAUGACUAUAUCAUAUGGUUAAAACUUAAAACUUAAAUAAGAUGGCUUUAUGUCGAUAAUUGAUACACCAA